UCGAGAAUCUUUCACAAUGGGGGCAACCCUGAUGGAGCGACGCCGCGUGGAGGAUAAGGUCUUCGGAUUGUAAACUCCUGUCAUGCGUGAACAAGGCUGCAGGGUUAAUAACCUUGCAGAUUGAUGGUAGCGCACGAGGAAGAGACGGCUAACUCUGUGCCAGCAGCCGUGGUAAUACAGAGGUCUCAAGCGUUGUUCGGAAUCACUGGGCGUAAAGGGUGCGUAGGUGGCGUGGUAAGUCAGAUGUGAAAGCCCGGGGCUCAACCUCGGAAUUGCAUCCGAUACUGCCAUGCUAGAGUACUGAAGAGGUGACUAGAAUUCUCGGUGUAGCAGUGAAAUGCGUAGAUAUCGAGAGGAAUACCAACGGCGAAGGCAGGUCACUGGGCAGUUACUGACGCUGAGGCACGAAGGCCAGGGG
rnacentral:rRNA from 1 species